rnacentral:sRNA from 12 species
GGCAGGGGCUUGCGCUCAGGCUUUCAGGUGCGGAGGAAGGUACCCUUCCGCCAAUACACAUCCCGCGGAUGUGGAACCUGUUACGGAUUUUGCGCAUUGAGCGAUCCAUACGGCGCAAGCC